rnacentral:lncRNA from 1 species
AGUCCAGACAUGUGUCUGGGAAGUUAAAGGAAAGAGACCCUGUCCCUCAAAACCUUCCUUACUAGUACCUGAAAUUCACAGAGAAUGUAUUUAUUCAGUGACUUUCUCUCUCCUCCACUUCCCAACCCCAGCUACAAAUGGGGACAGCAAGAGAGAGAAAACCUGGGGAGAACGGAAGAAACCAUGCUUUGUAGAAUGGAUCCUGCUUCGGAAUUGCUGAUCUCAUCAACCACAUGUUUAUAGAGAGAGCAGUGGCCCUUAAGGAACUGGAGAGAAUGCUCUGAUUUACUUCUGUCCGGCAUGGUGAACAGCAGGAAUGACUGUAGCUGUUCUCUUUGCCAAGGACAGAUCUGAUCUGAUUGCCUUGAGGUGAAAGUGAGGUAAGGUGGGACGGGGAUUAGCUUUUGGCUCCCAAGAAUGGUUGUUCAUCAACCUUUUGCUAAGCCCGUGGUUCUCAAAUUUUGCUGCAUGUUAGAAUCACCUGGGAAGCUUUAAAAAAACAUCUCAGUACCCAGGUUGUACCUCAGACCAAUUAAAUCUGAAUGCCUGGGGGCGGUUGCCAGGCAUCAGAAGUUUUCAAAGACCUCCCCCCACCAGGUGGUUCCUGGACAUGUACCCACAUCCAGGAACCACUGUCCUCAGCAUUUAUUGUAUGAGGCAACUUAGGUGACACACAACAGGUGAGAACCUGGCUCCUGCCUUUCGGACACAGGACUUAAUUUUUUUUUUAUUUUUUAAAUUAUGCAGUAAAAUUUUUUCUGUUGGUGUACAGGUCUAUGAAUUUUUUUAUACUGAGUUUUUUAUACUGCCUGAGUACAAUUUAAUGGUAUACCAUAAAGUAUACCAUAAUUUUAUGGUAUAUCAUAAAGUAUACCAUAAUUUUAUGGUAUACCAUAACAUUUUACAUACCAUAGACCCUUGCUCAAAGAUGACACUGUAAUUUGUGAAGUGUUCCAUAUUUUAAAAAAAAUUUUUUUUAAAGUGUACAACUCAGCCAUAUGCAGUGGUUCCCACCUGUAAUCCCAGGGUUUUGAGGCCAGGCAUGGUGGCUCACGCCUAUAAUCUCAACACUUUGGGAGGCCGAGGUGGGUAGAUCACCUGAGGUCAGGUGUUCAAGACCAGACUGUCCAAUAU